UACGGAGGGUGCAAGCGUUAAUCGGAAUUACUGGGCGUAAAGCGUGCGUAGGUGGUUUGUUAAGUCCGUUGUGAAAGCCCCGAGCUCAACUUGGGAAUUGCAGUGGAUACUGGCAAGCUGGAGUGCGGUAGAGGAAGGUGGAAUUCCCGGUGUAGCGGUGAAAUGCGUGAGAGAGGUGAGGAACACCAGUGGCGAAGGCGGCCUUCUGGACCAGCACUGACACUCAAGCACGAAAGCGUGGGGAGCAAACAGG
rnacentral:rRNA from 1 species